rnacentral:rRNA from 1 species
UACAGAGGGGGCAAGCGUUGUUCGGAAUUACUGGGCGUAAAGGGCGCGUAGGCGGCCUUCUAAGUCGAACGUGAAAUCCCCGGGCUCAACCCGGGAACUGCGUCCGAUACUGGGAGGCUUGAAUCCGGGAGAGGGAUGCGGAAUUCCAGGUGUAGCGGUGAAAUGCGUAGAUAUCUGGAGGAACACCGGUGGCGAAGGCGGCAUCCUGGACCGGCAUUGACGCUGAGGCGCGAAAGCCAGGGGAGCAAACGGG